UACAUGCAAGUCGAACGGUAAAUAGUGUAGCAAUAUCUAUGAGAGUGGCGCACGGGUGAGUAACGCGUAUGCAACCUACCUUUAACUGGGGGAUAGCUCAGAGAAAUCUGAAUUAAUACCGCAUAAUAUUAUUGAAUGGCAUCAUUUAAUAAUCAAAACUCCGGUGGUUAAAGAUGGGCAUGCGUGACAUUAGCUAGUUGGUAAGGUAACGGCUUACCAAGGCUACGAUGUCUAGGGGGUCUGAGAGGAUGAUCCCCCACACUGGUACUGAGACACGGACCAGACUCCUACGGGAGGCAGCAGUAAGGAAUAUUGGUCAAUGGAGGCAACUCUGAACCAGCCAUGCCGCGUGAAGGAUGACGGCCCUAUGGGUUGUAAACUUCUUUUAUACGGGAAGAAACCCUGAUACGUGUAUCAGGUUGACGGUACUGUAAGAAUAAGGACCGGCUAACUUCGUGCCAGCAGCCGCGGUAAUACGAAGGGUCCAAGCGUUAUCCGGAUUUAUUGGGUUUAAAGGGUGCGUAGGCGGCUUAUUAAGUCAGUGGUGAAAGACUUCAGCUUAACUGAAGAACUGCCAUUGAUACUGAUGAGCUUGAGUGUACUUGAGGUGGGCGGAAUGUGUCAUGUAGCGGUGAAAUGCUUAGAUAUGACACAGAACACCGAUUGCGAAGGCAGCUCGCUAAAGUACAACUGACGCUGAGGCACGAAAGCGUGGGGAGCAAACAGGAUUAGAUACCCUGGUAGUCCACGCCCUAAACGUUGAUAACUCGAUGUGUGCGAUAUACUGUACGCGUCUAAGCGAAAGCAUUAAGUUAUCCACCUGGGAAGUACGGUCGCAAGAUUGAAACUCAAAGGAAUUGACGGGGGCCCGCACAAGCGGAGGAGCAUGUGGUUUAAUUCGAUGAUACGCGAGGAACCUUACCCGGGCUUGAAAGUUAGUGACCGGCCUUGAAAGAGGCCUUCCCGCAAGGGCACGAAACUAGGUGCUGCAUGGCUGUCGUCAGCUCGUGCCGUGAGGUGUUGGGUUAAGUCCCGUAACGAGCGCAACCCCUAUCAUUAGUUGCCAUCAGGUCAUGCUGGGGACUCUAAUGAGACUGCCCGCGCAAGCGGUGAGGAAGGUGGGGAUGACGUCAAGUCAGCACGGCCCUUACGUCCGGGGCUACACACGUGCUACAAUGGGCUGUACAGAAGGAUGCUACUAGGUGACUAGAUGCAAAUCUCAAAAGCAGCUCUCAGUUCGGAUCGAAGUCUGCAACUCGACUUCGUGAAGCUGGAUUCGCUAGUAAUCGCGUAUCAGCAAUGACGCGGUGAUACGUUCCCGGGCCUUGCACUCACCGCCCGUCAGGGCGA
rnacentral:rRNA from 1 species